rnacentral:rRNA from 1 species
UACGUAGGGGGCAAGCGUUGUCCGGAUUUAUUGGGCGUAAAGAGCGUGUAGGCGGUUUGGUAGGUCCGUUGUGAAAACUCGAGGCUCAACCUCGAGACGCCGAUGGAACCAUCAGACUAGAGUCCGGAAGAGGAGAGUGGAAUUCCUGGUGUAGCGGUGAAAUGCGCAGAUAUCAGGAAGAACACCCGUGGCUAAGGCGGCUCUCUAGUACGGUACUGACGCUGAGACGCGAAAGCGUGGGGAGCGAACAGG